rnacentral:rRNA from 1 species
GACGAACGCUGGCGGCGGGCUUAACACAUGCAAGUCGAACGGAAAGGUCCUGCUUUUGUGGGGUGCUCGAGUGGCGAACGGGGGAGUAACACGUGUGUAACCUGUCCUUGACUUUGGGAUAACUUCAGGAAACUGGGGCUAAUACCGGGUAGGAGCUCCUGCUGCAUGGUGGGGGUUGGAAAGUUUCGGCGGUUGGGGAUGGACUCGCGGCUCAUCAGCUUGUUGGUGGGGUAGUGGCUUACCAAGGCUUUGAAGGGUAGCAGGCCUGAGAGGGUAACCGGCCCCAUUGCAACUGGGAUGCGGCACAGACUACUACGGGAGGCAACGGUGGAGAGUGUUGCAUUAUGGGCUGGAGCCUGAUGCAGCAACGCCACGUGCGGGAUGACGGCCUGCGGGUAGUAAUCCACUUUCGCCUGUGACGAAGCGUGAGUGACGGUAAUGGGUAAAGAAGCACCGGCUAACUACGUG